UACAGGGGGUGCAAACGUUGCUCGGAAUCAUUGGGCGUAAAGCGCACGUAGGCGGUCUGUUAUGUCGGAUGUGAAAGCCCUUGGCUCAACUAAGGAAGUGCAUCCGAAACUGGCAGGCUGGAGUACUAAAGAGGGUCGCGGAAUUCCUGGUGUAGCGGUGGAAUGCGCAGAUAUCAGGAGGAACACCAGCGGCGAAGGCGGCAUCCUGGACUGGUCCUGACACUCAGGAGCGAAAGCGUGGGGGAGCGAUCCGG
rnacentral:rRNA from 1 species